UUAACUAAAGCCAAAAUAGAGGCUCAUCACUGUUAAUGAUGUAAUUGAAAUAAAUAUGAUUUCUAGUUAAG
rnacentral:tRNA from 1 species